UACGAGGGAGGCGAAGCGUUGUCCGGAAUUAUUGGGCGUAAAGAGCUCGUAGGUGGCUUGUUGCGUCUGCCGUGAAAGCCCGUGGCUUAACUACGGGUCUGCGGCGGAUACGGGCAGGCUAGAGGCUGGUAGGGCAAGCGGAAUUCCUGGUGUAGCGGUGAAAUGCGCAGAUAUCAGGAGGAACGACCGGUGGCGAAGGCGGCUUGCUGGGCCAGUUCUGACGCUGAGGAGCGAAAGCGUGGGGAGCGAACAGG
rnacentral:rRNA from 1 species